UUUACGGGAAAAUACUAAUACGGGAGGACGGCGGGAAAGAGGAGUAAAAUACGGUAGUUUCCCGGCCAAAACGGGAGACUUGACAGGUAUGUGUUUACCCCCCUUUGUGUGUGAAGUAUGCGUCCUUGACUUGAAGUGAGUGGAUUACCUGAUGUUUAAAGUGGUCAAGAGUAGAUGUUUUGAUACUGUUGAUAUUUUGAUUAAUAUUCUAAUGUUAGCUAUCUGUUAUAAAUGUGUAAAAUCCUUUCUAGUAAUGUCUUAAGGCCACCUAGUGUGGAUUAAUUGUUAAUUGUGGGUUCUAUUAAGUGUAUGACGUGUAUUUUGGCUUAUAAAAUGUGUUUUAGCUCCAUGUUGUACUACUAGCAAGAGUUCUAGAACCUUCUGUGUAGAAAAUAGGUGAAUUACCGCCUUUUCCCCACUAGGGGGCACUGUUGGGCCACUCAAGUAGCUGUUUUAUGUAUUAUCUGCCACAAAUGUUAUGCUUAGUUAAUUCUAAACAAUUAUGGAAAUGUUUUUGCUAUUUUCUUUUGUUCCAGACCAUACGUUUCAUACUUUUCAAGCUCUGUAUUCAACUAAGCCUGUGUGCAAGUAAAGUGCUGCUGUGUAACACACCUGAGGUUUCAGUACAAUUAAUCCUUAAUCACCACUAAAGGCCCUGUCCCACUGCGAUUGCGUCUAAAUAUCCACUAAAGUACGUCCAAAUUUAUCAGAAAACACUGCGUCCACUGAGUGAACGCGCUGCGUCCAAAAUAUAGACGCACUGCGUCCAAAUUACGUCCAUAUUCCGUCCAAAUUUAAGUUGCACGCCGACUUCCAAAUUUGUACGUCGACUUCCACUCUUUGGACGUCGACUUCCACUUUUUGGACGUCGACUUCCAACUAUAUAUGGUUGUUUUUUCUAGUAAAUCAUCAUUUCUUCUUGAAAAACAAGAGAGAGCACAUCUAUUCUCUUCUACACAACCAUGGACCACAGAUUCCUUGCAGUGAUGGUGCAGCAGCAGAACAUACUCCUCCAUGUGCUGGACCAGACCGGGAGGAGGAGGAGGCGGCGGCAGCAGGAGAGGACUGUAUGGGUCAGGCCUUGGAUUGUACGCCGGGUGGAGUUUGGACUGUAUGACCGGCUGAUGGUAAAGCGAUGGACGCCAGAAAAAUAUUUUUAUGGACGUCGACGUCCACCUGUACGUGCCGUCCAAAUAUCCACUAAAAUACGUCCGUACUGCGUCUAAAUAUCCACUAAAUUACGUCCAUAUUAGUCGCCGUCUAUUCCGAAAAUUUUGGGAGGUACCAAAACCACUUUUGCAUCUAAAGUGGACGGCAACGUCUAAACUACGUCCAAAUAUCCACUAAACUACGUCCAGAUUGCGUCUAAAUAUCCACUAAAUAUUCACUAAACUGCGUCCACUGAAAUUUGGACGUACUUUAGUGGAUAUUUAGAGGCAAUCGCAGUGGGACAGGUCCUUAACACCAGUGUUCUGACCGACACUCCGAAGGAGGACAAAUCAUAUAGAGCCAGCCUUAUUAUACAGUCCAUUUAACUUACCUCUAUCGAAACUUACCUCCAGUUUGUGCAGACCCAGUGGAACACCUUCCUGUGAGUAUACAUAUUUUGUGUAGUAGUUGGCUGUUGUAGAUUAUUCUUUCAUGUACAAUUUUGUAGUAAUUCUGAUUAAAAUCAAUGUAAAAUAGUAUAUAACAGGGUUGUGGAAUUGCAAUUCAAAAACAAAUUAACAUUAAAAUCAUACUCUAUAAAACAGAUUAUUAAAACUGUAAUAACUUUCAAAUAGCAGAAAAUGCUACAACAGCAGACCAAGAUAUUCAGACCUGAAUGUUGCCACCACAAUUACUAAACAUUUGAGAAACUGUUGAGCAUAAGAUGCAGCAGCAUUAUCCUGUAUAGUACUUUUACUUCCUGUAAUUUCAAUUCAAAUAUAAUUCACCAUCAUGUAGGGUUGAUACAAUUCAAAUUCAUGCACUGAAUUGAUUUAAAUUCAGUUCAAGUUUUCACUUCAUUUUUUCUGAAGUUAUUAUCUUUCAAAAGGCAAAUUCUUUAAGCAUGGACUUCAUUUUACUGCCUUCCUGGAGCAACAGCAUUAUACGUAAUACUGUGUAUAAAAUGUCAGUGUAAAGUUUCUGAUUGACCCUCGGAUUCAUGUCUUUGUGUACAUUUCUGGGACAGAUAUUGCGGCCAAAGCUGAAACAACUUUUCUGUUUUUGACUCACACUGUGCAACUGGCCUCAGUGAUGACGGAUUCAGUUGAGUGUACAGGUUUAAAAAAAAAAAAAAGUUCCCAAAAAAAUGCUGUAUAGUAGUUCUGUUUUAAACUGUACAGCCUUUUUAUUUCUUGUUUAUUUCCUUCAUGUUCUUGGGAGUAUACUGGAGUUUGAGGCAAAAAAAAAACAUAAUCAAAGAAUAACUUGUCUGCUAAGUUAAAAUCUAUCUCAGUUUGUAAUUGUAAGUGAUGUCAGGAGUUUCUCUAAGCUUUAGAUGCAAAUUAACAAGGAAGCAUUAUUAUCCCAAGAACUUCAAAUGUUUGUGGUUCAGGAAUUUUUUUGUUUUUAUGAUUAUAGAGAUAAUUGAGGUUACUCUCUUGAUUUCAUUUUCUAGGAACCUUGCUGAGGCAAUUUCAUCGGGACCAUGGACAGAGGUCCACCUGAUGCACCACCAAUUUAGCAAAUAAUUUACACCCAAUGUUCCACUACCAUUUAAAUAAAAAUUUCUUAACAUUGUUUUUUCUUUAGGAAAUUCCAAUGCAACACUCUAGCAAUAGCUGUGGAGUUUUUAUGCUUAUGUAUGCACUCUACAUGGUCCUGGGAGGAAUUUUUGACUUUACAGAGACAGAUAUGCCUGCCAUAAGGAGAUGGUGGUGUGCACUCCUACUGGUUACUUGUUUGGAAUGCACUUCAGGGAGAGCAAAGAAAAUGAUGGACACACAUGG